rnacentral:rRNA from 1 species
AACGAACGCUGGCGGCAGGCUUAACACAUGCAAGUCGAACGAAGCCUUCGGGCUUAGUGGCGGACGGGUGAGUAACGCGUGGGAGCGUGCCCUUCUCUACGGAAUAGUCUCGGGAAACUGGGGGUAAUACCGUAUACGCCCUUCGGGGGAAAGAAUUUCGGAGAGGGAUCGGCCCGCGUUGGAUUAGGUAGUUGGUGGGGUAAUGGCCUACCAAGCCGGACGAUCCAUAGCUGGUUUGAGAGGAUGACCAGCCACACUGGGACUGAGACACGGCCCAGACUCCUACGGGAGGCAGCAGUGGGGAAUCUUAGACAAUGGGCGCAAGCCUGAUCUAGCCAUGCCGCGUGGACGAUGAAGGCCUUAGGGUUGUAAAGUCCUUUCGCUGGGGAAGAUAAUGACUGUACCCAGUAAAGAAGCCCCGGCUAACUCCGUG